rnacentral:rRNA from 1 species
AUUGAACUCUGGCGGCAGGCCAAACACAUGCAAGUCGAACGAGUGGCGGACGGGUGAGUAAUGUCUGGGAAACUGCCUGAUGGCGGGGGAGAACUACUGGAAACGGUAGCUAAUAACGCAUACCAUCGGAUGUGCCCAGAUGGGAUUAGCGAGUAGGUGGGGUAAAGGAUGACCUAGGCGACGAUCCCUAGCUGGUCUGAGAGGAUGACCAUCCACCCUGGAACUCAGACACGUUCCAGACUCCUACGGGAGGCAGCAGUGGGGAAUAUUGCACAAUGGGCGCAAGCCUGAUGCAGCCAUGCCGCGUGUAUGAAGAAGGCCUUCGGGUUGUAAAGUACUUUCAGCGGGGAGGCGUUACCCGCAGAAGAAGCACCGGCUAACUCCGUGCCAGCAGCCGCGGUAAUUC